rnacentral:rRNA from 1 species
GACGAACGCUGGCGGCGUGCUUAACACAUGCAAGUCGAACGGUAAGGCCCUUCGGGUACGACGAGUGGCGAACGGGUGAGUAACACGUGGUGAUCUGCCCUGCACUUCGGGAUAAGCCUGGGAAACUGGGUCUAAUACCGGAUAGGACCAUGGACUUCACGGUUUGUGGUGGAAAGCUUUUGCGGUGUGGGAUGGGCCCGCGGCCUAUCAGCUUGUUGGUGGGGUAAUGGCCUACCAAGGCGACGACGGGUAGCCGGCCUGAGAGGGUGUCCGGCCACACUGGGACUGAGAUACGGCCCAGACUCCUACGGGAGGCAGCAGUGGGGAAUAUUGCACAAUGGGCGCAAGCCUGAUGCAGCGACGCCGCGUGAGGGAUGACGGCCUUCGGG